rnacentral:rRNA from 1 species
UACGAAGGGGGGCUAGCGUUGUUCGGAAUUACUGGGCGUAAAGCGCACGUAGGCGGACAUUUAAGUCAGGGGUGAAAUCCCGGAGCUCAACUCCGGAACUGCCUUUGAUACUGGGUGUCUUGAGUGUGGAAGAGGUGAGUGGAAUUCCGAGUGUAGAGGUGAAAUUCGUAGAUAUUCGGAGGAACACCAGUGGCGAAGGCGGCUCACUGGUCCAUUACUGACGCUGAGGUGCGAAAGCGUGGGGAGCAAACAGGAGUUAGAU